GUUACACAUAUACUAAAAUUGGAACGAUACAGAGAUUAGCAUGGCCCCUGUGCAAGGAUGACAUACAAAUUCAUGAAGCGUUCCAUAUUUUU
rnacentral:snRNA from 1 species